GCUUUGGGAUUUAAUAAGCUAAUUGCAGCCAUUUUUCAAAUAACUUUUUUCUUUUUACAGAAACAAAUCACUCACUUAUCAAAAACUGCUAUUAACACUUCGAAUGAAUUAGCGGUAUAAAUGUAUAGAUGAGAAAUCUAUACAAGUCAAGACUUGCUGUAAUUACUAAGAACACGUAUAGAUGGUGCUGUCAUUCGUGACAGCCAAUGAAAACGCACGUAGACAUGCUUCUUUGCUAUUAGUUAACAAACAAAUCAAAGGCGGUGCAUUCAAAAGAAGAAAAAAAAAUUCUGCCUGCUGGGAAAUGUCAUAUUUGAAAUAAUAAAAAACAGAAUAAAUUGUGUUCAGAUUUUUUACAAUUAUGAUCUAUAAUCGAGAAAACACGAUGAUUUCCGAAAAGCUGCCAAGAUUAAAAACUUUAGAUUUCAUUGCUCGAAAAAAGCUAAUUGAUGAAUUAGAAUUAAAUAUACUAAUACAAUAGACGUUAUCACGAUUUACAGUUGGUUUAUCUGAGUACGACAAACACAAAACGUUCUUUUCCCGUCACACACCAAUGCAUA
rnacentral:misc_RNA from 1 species